rnacentral:rRNA from 1 species
ACGGAAGGCAGCAGUGGGGAAUAUUGCACAAUGGGGGAAACCCUGAUGCAGCGACGCCGCGUGAGCGAAGAAGUAUUUCGGUAUGUAAAGCUCUAUCAGCAGGGAAGAAAUGACGGUACCUGACUAAGAAGCCCCGGCUAACUACGUGCCAGCAGCCGCGGUAAUACGUAGGGGGCAAGCGUUAUCCGGAUUUACUGGGUGUAAAGGGAGCGCAGACGGCAAGGCAAGUCUGAAGUGAAAUUCCAUGGCUCAACCGUGGAACUGCUUUGGAAACUGUUUAGCUAGAGUAUCGGAGGGGUAAGCGGAAUUCCUAGUGUAGCGGUGAAAUGCGUAGAUAUUAGGAGGAACACCGGUGGCGAAGGCGGCUUACUGGACGAUAACUGACGUUGAGGCUCGAAAGCGUGGGGAGCAAACAGGAUUAGAUACCCUGGUA